GCCUGGGCUUGAUGUUCACCGAUUUUCCCUCAGCUCCGACUGUGGCUCCUCUCGGCAGACUCUGAUCCUGCUCUCAGCCGGGCUGCAUCUGCCCAUCUCAGCACAUCGAUAAGCAACAGAGGCAAACUACCACCUUGGAGGGAGCCAGGCAGUGUCUGCUGGGCAGGCCGCAGCCAGGAGCAUGGAAGUCGCUUCUUCCAUCCUCCACUGGAAACCACCCAGCAUCCUGGGCCCUCCAGAGAGGAGCCAGACUCCCUCUGGGAAGAGACUGCAGUCCUAUCUGUAUCCUCCGUGGUCACUGCGCCUCAGUCACAGCAAUGAAGAGCAAAUUACCUGUUUUCUGUAUGUUCCUCCGACAACAACUGACACAGAGUAAAUAUGAAAGGUUCUGGAUGAUUCGUGGUCAGCUUUUAUUAAAAUUCCACAUACUUGGC